rnacentral:rRNA from 1 species
AUACGGAGGGGGCUAGCGUUGUUCGGAAUUACUGGGCGUAAAGCUCGCGUAGGCGGAUUGACAAGUUGGAGGUGAAAUCCCGGGGCUCAACCCCGGAACUGCCUUCAAAACUGUCAGUCUUGAGUUCGGAAGAGGUGAGUGGAAUUCCUAGUGUAGAGGUGAAAUUCGUAGAUAUUAGGAAGAACACCAGUGGCGAAGGCGACUCACUGGUCCGAUGCUGACGCUGAGGUGCGAAAGCGUGGGGAGCAAACAGGAUUAGAAACCCUAGUAGUCC